AGGUAGGCCGGAUCCUGGGCUGUGUCCCGGCGCCCUGUGCUCCGGAGCCUGCACUGUUGGAUUCGCGCUCCCGCCCCGCAGCCCCCU
rnacentral:pre_miRNA from 1 species